UACGUAGGGUGCAAGCGUUGUCCGGAAUUAUUGGGCGUAAAGGGCGCGUAGGUGGCGCGAACAGUCAGUGGAUGAAAGUUCGACGCUCAACUGUCGAAUCGGCCACUGAUACUGUUGGGCUUGAGCACUGUAGAGGCUAAGUGGAAUUCCGGGUGUAGCGGUGGAAUGCGUAGAGAGUCCGGAAGAACACCGGUGGCGAAGGCGGUUAGCUGG
rnacentral:rRNA from 1 species